rnacentral:rRNA from 1 species
CUCAGGAUGAACGCUGGCGGGCGUGCUUAACACAUGCAAGUCGAACGAUGAAGCCCAGCUUGCUGGGUGGAUUAGNGGCGAACGGGUGAGUAACACGUGAGUAACCUGCCCUUAACUCUGGGAUAAGCCUGGGAAACUGGGUCUAAUACCGGAUAGGAGCGUCCACCGCAUGGUGGGUGUUGGAAAGAUUUAUCGGUUUUGGAUGGACUCGCGGCCUAUCAGCUUGUUGGUGAGGUAAUGGCUCACCAAGGCGACGACGGGUAGCCGGCCUGAGAGGGUGACCGGCCACACUGGGACUGAGACACGGCCCAGACUCCUACGGGAGGCAGCAGUGGGGAAUAUUGCACAAUGGGCGCAAGCCUGAUGCAGCGACGCCGCGUGAGGGAUGACGGCCUUCGGGUUGUAAACCUCUUUCAGUAGGGAAGAAGCGAAAGUGACGGUACCUGCAGAAGAAGCACCGGCUAACUACGUGCCAGCAGCCGCGGUAAUACGUAGGGUGCGAGCGUUAUCCGGAAUUAUUGGGCGUAAAGAGCUCGUAGGCGGUUUGUCGCGUCUGUCGUGAAAGUCCGGGGCUUAACCCCGGAUCUGCGGUGGGUACGGNCAGACUAGAGUGCAGUAGGGGAGACUGGAAUUCCUGGUGUAGCGGUGGAAUGCGCAGAUNNCANGAGGAACACCGAUGGCGAAGGCAGGUNUUU